CCUACGGGGGGCAGCAGUGAGGAAUAUUGGUCAAUGGCCGUAAGGCUGAACCAGCCAAGUCGCGUGAAGGAAGAAGGAUCUAUGGUUUGUAAACUUCUUUUAUAGGGGACUAAAGGUAUCCACGUGUGGAUAUUUGCAUGUACCCUAUGAAUAAGCAUCGGUUAACUCCGUGCCAGCAGCCGCGGUAAUACGGGGGAUGCGAGCGUUAUCCGUUUUUUUUGGGUUUAAAGGGUGCGUAGGCGGGCUUUUAAGUCAGCGGUAAAAAUUCGGGGCACAACCCCGGCCGGCCGUUGACUCUGGGGGCCUUGAGUGGGCGAGAAGAAGGCGGAAUGCGUGGUGUAGCGGUGAAAUGCAUAGAUAUCACGCAGAACCCCGAUUGCGAAGGCAGCCUUCCAGCGCCCUACUGACGCUGAGGCACGAAAGUGCGGGGAUCGAACAGGAUUAGAUACCCCGGUAGUC
rnacentral:rRNA from 1 species